rnacentral:rRNA from 1 species
ACGUAGGACGCAAGCGUUAUCCGGAAUUACUGGGCGUAAAGGGCGUGCAGGCGUUUCUUUCCUUUCUUCUUACCCUCUCCCUUCUCCCCCUUUCUUUUUCUUCUGAUACUGGGGGACUAGAGUGUGGUAGAGGGGUGUAGAAUUCCGGGUGUAGUGGUGAAAUGCGUAGAUAUCCGGAGGAAUACCAGUGGCGAAGGCGGCACCCUGGGCCAUAACUGACGCUAAGACGCGAAAGCAUGGGUAGCGAACGG